CUAGACUCGACUGGAGAAAGAGGAGGAUCCAGCUGUAAAGAAUAUCUGAGAAUCAAGACAGUGCAGCCAGACCGUGAUUAUGCUAUUUCAAUUAUUUUGAUAAAUCAUGGAAAGUAUCCUUUUUUGGCUACCAUUGGCUUCUUUUAGUGAACAAAGCUAAGACUCAUUCAGAAUUUUAUUGAUUUGGCAGCUAAUGAGAGAAGCUGAUAUCUUAUAUUGAUAAUUUAAGCUCAGUAAGCAAUUAUGAUUGAUGGUUAUCAUUUCUAAGUGCAUUGUGUUUAACUAUUGUAUGUGUAUCAAAUACGAUUCAUAAAUUACAAUUUUUU